rnacentral:rRNA from 1 species
CCAGACUCCUACGGGAGGCAGCAGUGGGGAAUAUUGCACAAUGGGGGAAACCCUGAUGCAGCGACGCCGCGUGAGUGAAGAAGUAUUUCGGUAUGUAAAGCUCUAUCAGCAGGGAAGAUAAUGACGGUACCUGACUAAGAAGCCCCGGCUAACUACGUGCCAGCAGCCGCGGUAAUACGUAGGGGGCAAGCGUUAUCCGGAUUUACUGGGUGUAAAGGGUGCGUAGGUGGCAUGGCAAGUCAGAAGUGAAAGCCCGGGGCUCAACCCCGCGGACUGCUUUUGAAACUGUCAGGCUGGAGUACAGGAGAGGUAAGCGGAAUUCCUAGUGUAGCGGUGAAAUGCGUAGAUAUUAGGAGGAACGCCAGUGGCGAAGGCGGUCUGCUGGACAGCAACUGACGCUGAGGCGCGAAAGCGUGGGGAGCAAACAGGAUUAGAUACCCUCGUAA